rnacentral:rRNA from 1 species
UACAGAGGGUGCAAGCGUUAAUCGGAAUUACUGGGCGUAAAGCGUGCGUAGACGGUUGCGUAAGUCAGAUGUGAAAGCCCCGGGCUCAACCUGGGAAUUGCAUUUGAGACUGCGUAGCUAGGGUGCGGAAGAGGGAAGCGGAAUUUCCGGUGUAGCGGUGAAAUGCGUAGAUAUCGGAAGGAACACCAGUGGCGAAAGCGACUUCCUGGACCAAUACUGACGCUCAUGUGCGAAAGCGUGGGGAGCAAACAGG